AACCUUAUGGACCUGCGGGCGUAUACCUGCGGAGGGAUCAUUAUUGAAUAAACUUGGUCAAGCUGUUGCUGGUCCUUCGGGGCAUGUGCACGCUUGCCACCAAUUUUAACCACCUGUGCACCUUUUGUAGAUUGGAAACGUUUCUCGAGGCAACUCGGAUUGUGGACUGCUGUGCGCAAGCCAGCUGUUCUUGUGUUUCUCAAUCUAUGUUUUCAUAUACUCCUAAUGUAUGUAUCAGAA
rnacentral:misc_RNA from 1 species